CAACCCUAAAAAGGAGAAGAUUUCGGGGAAGAAAGAAGCCCUUUCUCCGCGGCCACUCGGACGCCGGGACACUCGGCCCUCGCUGUAGGAGCUCCUGAACGACUCCUGGACGGGGGUCACCAUCUCCCUCUCCUAGGAGUGGGGACCUCCCCCGGGGGAAGGGGACUCAUCCAGGAGAGCAGGGCCCAGCCAGGUGCUGGGUUCUGUGCUGACAUCUCCAGCUGCUGGGCCCUCCCGAACUGACGGUGAACUGCCAGAGCCAGGGAGCCACAGAGGCCAACCCCAGCUCCCUGGCCUGAGAGCAAGUGCUGCUCUAAAAACUUCCCCUGUACCAGCUCACACUCGAGGCAGUCCUUUGAGGUGAGUACGAUUAUCAUUAUCCCCAUUGUUUAGAUGAAGAAACCCAAGUAAGGAGGGCGUAAGUGACUUGCCCAAGGUCACACAGCUAGCAAGUGGUAGAGCUGGGAUCUGAACGCAGGUGGCUGCCUCCAGGACCUAUGCUCUUAACCGCUCUGUCACUUACUCCUAUGCUAAGUGGUCCAAAGGAAGAGUCAACCUGGGUGAGGCAGGGGAGAAAGGUAGGCAGGGCCUGGAGCCCAGCAGGAGUCCUUAGCUAGACCUGGGGCUCUGCCAGCUGUGCUGGGCCAGGAGCAACCCUACUUCCAGAUGAGCCAGGGACUGCCCCCAUGCCUUUCCGGUCCGUCUCGUGGGACCCAGGGCUGCCCCGUGCCUCUCCGGAAGGAAGGGUCUGCCUCGUGGGACCCAGGGCUGCCCCCUGUGCCUCUCCGUCUGCAUCGUGGGACCCAGGGCUGUCCUCCCUCCGGAUCCCCCCCUGCUUCUCUUGCUCAACAGGCCAGAUGCUCUGCGAUGCUUCCCUGGGGUAACAGCAGGAGCUGCCAUCAGGGCUGGUGUCCAGGCAGGCCCAGGGUCAGCAAACACAUCAGAGGGGCUCUGGUUCUCCUUCAGUCUCAGAAAAUGUUUCUGGGCUGAGACCCACCCAACCUAAGCAGCGCCUCUCACCCCUCUCCAUACCAUCAUUCCCACCCUCCAGGCAGGAGCUGUGGCCGCGCCUGCUUUGGAAACAGGCAAACAAACACUGUGAUGCCAACAGGCAGCUGUGCAGCGGGGCCAGCCCCUCACCACACACGCGCACACGGCCCAGCCAGGGGCCCAGAUGUGGGAACAGACUGUGCCCAGUUCCCAGGGUGGAAGUCGAAUGAAUUUUCCCUUCUCACUCCUCCCCACAAGGCUUGCCAAACGCCUUCGGAAUUGGUCAGGGCUCUAGUCCUGGCCAAACCAGAGGAAAAAUGUUUCAUGAUGGGAAAAACAAGACACCAGCCCCGGGCGCGUCCAGGUCUCCGCUGGCUCUCCCGAGCCUGGCCCGGCUGAGCUGCAGCAGGGGGCCUGGCCCUGAGUUGGGGCUGAGCUCAGGGAGGAACUGUUCUGCAGAGCAGUCUGAGGGGCUCACUGGUCCUGGCGUGCAGGUGGGUUAAAGGGACGCCCAGGGACCACCUCCCCACACAAGCCUGAGGACCUCUUCAGGGCCACUUUCAGUUCUAAACUUUGCUAUGGGUACAACCAACUUUAGCCACUCUUGGUUGGACCUGUCUAGAAAGGGUGGUGGGAGGGCAAGAAAGGUCUGAAUUUAGGAUCUGGAAGUUGAGGGCUCUAAGGACAGAUCUGCUACUAACCCAAGCAAGUCUCCGCCUGGUGUGGGGACUCAGUUUCCCUAUGUCAAGUGAGGUGUGGGCCAAGACCAGUGCGUUUCACCUGUUUUGACUGUGGCCCACAAUACAGCCCGUUGUAACAGUCCACACGCCUCCAGGUAACUGAACAGCAGCACCUGCACUCAAGGCUUGCAGUGUAUCCUACUGCUGUCCGUUCCCCACUUCAUUCAGAAAAGGCUACACUGGUUAAAUGAACCACCAGUAGGUCAGGACUCACUGAUUAUAAAACCUGCCUACAGUCCUAAUACUAUCUGUUCUCCAUUCACUUACAGAAGGCUGAAUGGACUCAGUGAACCACUGGUAGGUCAAGGACCCACUGAUUAUAAAACCUGCCUGCAGUCCUGAGCAUUCUGUGGUCAAUAUUUGAGGUUACUACUCGUUACGGGACCCAAAUAUUUCUCAACACAGAAAAACGCACCCAGGAACUAGCAAGAAAGCCAGCCACGCAGACUCUGGUUAGAUCUGAGUUUAAGUCCAGAACCAAAACCCACAAGCUGGGUCAUCCUGGGCAAGCAAGUCGGCCCUUCUGAGUUUCUGCAGUUCCUUCCCUGCAGCAACGGACAAGAGAUUCGCAGGGAGCGGAUUACGUGAGAAAACGCAGAAAAAGCACCUGCCACAGGGACUCUGAAGCAGACCAAGGCUCCUCUCCAGGAAGGCUCCUGGUUCUCCCGAGCUCUCCCGUCCAUCCCACCAGCCUGCACCCACCCCGGCUGGGCCUUCCAGACUCACUGGCAUCGAAGACGGCCUUGAGCGCCUGGAUGUCCGUGGCCACGCCUGAUAUCCGGUAGAUGCCAACCUCCUCGAUGCCCCUCUUCUCCACCUCCUCCACGCACUGCCGGACGAUGUAGGGCACCUUGGAGCGUUCCCGCCUGGGGUGGGGCGUGAGGAUGGGUGGAGGGCGGCCCCCAUGACAACUCUCCCGUAGCAACCCCCACCCAGCACACCCGCCCCCGGAGAGCUUCUAGCAUUUGGAAUGGAGAGACGGGGCAGGGGGGCGGGGAGGGCAAGAAAAGGGCAGAGAAAGAGGCCACCGCACCCCACCCUAGCCUGCCCACCCGCGGCCUGCCUGCGGAGGGGCCGCGAAUGAAGUGGGCAGGAGAAGGUUUGGGAACUUGAGACGGUCAGGCCGAGACUCUAGGGAAAGAACGCCCCCCAGAUUCAGACGCUUGUAGGAGGCCCGGAAGGCAGCCCACACGAGGAGGUGGGUCAGGCCUGAGACAAGGGGCUGGGGUGGCGAUGAACUGGGGGAUGCAUGCCCUUUCCCGAGGGGCAGCCAGUCCCUGUUGGUGCCGAGCCCAAACGUGGGCCCCCGGCUGACAGAGCUUCCCGCUCAUUACGAGGAACAGACGAUCUGGGGUCUCACAAGACACCUUCCAGCAUUUCAGUGCCGGCUCACGUGCUUCUAAAGCGACUGAUUAGGUGCCAGGAUGGGCCUAGGCGGGGAGGGCCAGGGGCCCAGGUUGGUGGGGACCAGGGGCACCGACGCCAGGACUGGGAGACCGGAGGCAGCACCUACUUGGUCACCACGCUGAUCUUCACACCGAAGACACCGGUCUGCUUUUUGGACGGGGUCCUCUUCAGGCUCAUAUCUCGGCUGGUGAAUUUCAUGGAAAAUUCCACUUUGAUCUGGUUGGGGGGUGAGGCAGGUACAAGUUCCCCAGGGCGUGAGUGCCCAAGGAAUGCCCCCAAAACACAGGGGUCCCCUCCCCAAGACUGCAAACGAGGGCUGGCUCACACCCAGGGCUCCCUCAACACCUGCAGGACGGCACGGGCAGGGUGUGGGCAGGAGGGGAGGGGGGCUGGGCUGCAGGGAGGUCCAGGCGGCACAGCAGCCCCAGGAGCGGCCAGAGGGCCGGGCUGCCCACCCGCUGCACAGAUGUUCCACCUCCCGGCUCACCCGGUUGAUCGUUCCCAUCCCCGGCUCACCCCGUUCAUCUCAAUCACGUCUGUGUGCCAGUUCUUGGUCUCCACAGUUUGUGGGUCCAGCUGCAGAGAGAGAAUGUGGGUGAGGGAGGUGCCCACUCGGAGGCCAAGCCAGAGCUCUCCCCGUGGGUCAGCACUGCUAAGAGCCAGCGACACAGUCAGGAAGGCGAUGUGAGCAGCUGGGAUAAGCUGAUGUUUACCUGGAAAUCAACCCUUCGGGGGGCCCUAGCCCCCAGGCCCCUGUGGCCGCCAUGAGGGAGGCGGGGCACACCCUGUUAGGCACUCCUGCCCGUGACACCUUAUUCACUCGUGACUGCCAGCCCGGGAUAUGCGUAUUAUUACCCCAUUUCACAAAUGCAGAAACUGAGGUGCACAAAAGGUAAGCACCUGAUUAGGAGGUGCUGGAGCCCAUCAGGAGGGAACCGGCCUAUCCGAGUCAGGAGCCCAUGCUCAGGAGGCCGCCUGGGUUUGAAUCCCAGCAAGUUUUAAACUCACUAAGCCUCAGUUUUUCCAUCUGCACACGGGAGCCAGCAACAGAACCUGCCUCCCUGGGAUUGCUGUGAAGAUUCAGGGAGGCAACUUGGGUCGAGCCGUCAGCUCCCAAAUAAGCAAAUCCUCCACAGGGGAAGUCCCCAGGCUUGGGCUGGAGCCCAGGGAGGUGCAGACCCUCCCUGGGUCAGGGGAGGUCAGAGGCACCCCUCACACAGGACUGUUUCACGUUCUGUUUCUGUAACUCGGGGUCUGCCUUCAAGCCUGUCUGCCUGUGCACCUGUGAACUAAUUCUGAGCAAAUAUGCACCCUGGCACAUUCUAAAGUCAACAUCUGAACAUUUCCAAGUUUAAAUAGUUGCAAAGAGUAUGAUUUCCAGAAUCAUGUCAAUAUUGCCAUCCUAAAAUAAAAGUGUUACAUCGUUCCUUC